rnacentral:rRNA from 1 species
CCUACGGGUGGCAGCAGUGGGGAAUAUUGCACAAUGGGGGAAACCCUGAUGCAGCAACGCCGCGUGAAGGAAGACGGUUUUCGGAUUGUAAACUUCUGUUCUUAGUGAAGAAUAAUGACGGUAGCUAAGGAGCAAGCCACGGCUAACUACGUGCCAGCAGCCGCGGUAAUACGUAGGUGGCAAGCGUUGUCCGGAAUUACUGGGUGUAAAGGGAGCGCAGGCGGGAAGCCAAGUCAGCUGUGAAAACUACGGGCUUAACCGCGGAACGGCUUUGGAAACUGUGGAACUGGAGUGCUGGAGAGGCAAGCGGAAUUCCUAGUGUAGCGGUGAAAUGCGUAGAUAUUAGGAGGAACACCAGUGGCGAAGGCGGCUUGCUGGACAGUAACUGACGUUGAGGCUCGAAAGCGUGGGGAGCAAACAGGAUUAGAUACCCUUGUAGUC